rnacentral:lncRNA from 1 species
UGGCGGAGCAGGAGCUCAUUAAAGUGCUCUAUAUUUCGGAACAGAGGGGGUAAGGAGCAUCAUCUGUGACCGAGAGGAGAAAAGCUUUUGAGUUUAGCUUUCCGAUCGUCGAUCUGGAUAUGGUUAUGGCUAGUAAGUGCAGUAGUACGUUGUGUUGCCAGUGGAAGAAGUAAUUGUGAGUAUCAGGGUUAAGAAGCUGCUGA